UACAGAGGCCUCGAGCGUUAGGCGGAAUCAAUGGGCUUAAAGCGCAUGUAGGCGGAUCGUUAAGUGUCUUGUGAAAUCCCACGGCUCAACCGUGGAACUGCUGGGCAUACUGGCGAUCUUGGGCCACUCAGGGGCGACCGGAACAAGCGGUGGAGCGGUGAAAUGCGUAGAUAUCGCUUGGAACGCCAAAGGUGAAGACAGGUCGCUGGGGGUGUGCCGACGCUGAGACGCGAAAGCCAGGGGAGCAAACGGG
rnacentral:rRNA from 1 species